rnacentral:lncRNA from 1 species
GUAGAUUCGAAGGCCGUCAACGUUGCCUUGCUUUCUCAGUGUCAUUUUGGCUUGCUCAGUGAGCUUCUGAAUCAUUCGCGUUUUUCAUUUGAUUUGAUUUGAAUUUGAAUUUGCAGGUGCAAAUUAUUUUAAAAAUCUCGAUUUUGAUUUCUGAAUUUUCACGUAGGGUCUGUUUGGAUGAUGGCGAUGAGUCUUCGAUGGUGAGAUUAGGCGUAGGGAAGAGCGAGAGUACUAAUUCCAGAGAUCAAAGCUUUGUUACACGUUCAAAACCUGGAAUUAUGUAUUGUUACACUUUGGUUUGAUUUUGGUAAUUCCUAUGGAUUUUACGGCUUACUCUAGUGAAUGAUGCUCAUGGAUACAAGUUAUGUUGAU